AGGACUACCCGCUGAACUUAAGCAUAUCAAUAAGCGGAGGAAAAGAAACUAACAAGGAUUCCCCUAGUAACUGCGAGUGAAGCGGGAAAAGCUCAAUUUAAAAUCUGAUGGUCUUUAUGGCCUUCCGAGUUGUAAUCUAGAGAAGUGCUAUCCGCGCUGGACGGUGACGCGCGGGGGAAACGAAACUGAAAAUCCUAAACAGCACAC
rnacentral:rRNA from 1 species